rnacentral:rRNA from 1 species
CUACGGGGCGCAGCAGUGAGGAAUAUUGCACAAUGGGGGGAACCCUGAUGCAGCAACGCCGCGUGGAGGAUGACGCAUUUCGGUGUGUAAACUCCUUUUAUAUGUCAAGAAAAUGACGGUAGCAUAUGAAUAAGCACCGGCUAACUCCGUGCCAGCAGCCGCGGUAAUACGGAGGGUGCAAGCGUGUACUCGGAAUCACUGGGCGUAAAGGACGCGUAGGCGGGUUGGAAAGUCAGGUGUGAAAUCCUACAGCUUAACUGUAGAACUGCACUUGAAACUUCUAAUCUAGAGUAUGGGAGGGGGAGAUGGAAUUAGUGGUGUAGGGGUAAAAUCCGUAGAUAUCACUAGGAAUACCUAAAGCGAAGGCGAUCGCCUGGAACAUUACUGACGCUAAGGCGUGAAAGCGUGGGGAGCAAACAGGAUUAGAUACCCCCGUAGUC